rnacentral:tRNA from 1 species
CUUUAGAAAGUGGUGUAAAGGAAGCACCAAGAGUUUUGAUCUCUUGAGUAUGGGUUCAAUUCCCUUCUUUCUAG